rnacentral:sRNA from 1 species
GUAGAUGCUCAUCCCACUUCUUAUGACAGCUUAGUCUUCAUAAACCCAGGGAUGAUGCAGAGCCAAUUUUAGGGUGCCUAUUGUCCAUGUAAACGAUGUUGAGCGGUAACCAAUCCUCCUUUCAUCACAUACCGGGCGUAACGUUGAGUGAGGCACCAAUCUGCUGACUGUAGACCUGAUAUUUUAUGACACUUGCUUAAUCGGCAAGUGUUUUUUU